GAUGAACGCUAGCGAUAGGCUUAACACAUGCAAGUCGAGGGGCAGCACAAGGUAGCUUGCUCUCUGGGUGGCGACCGGCGCACGGGUGCGUAACGCGUAUGCAACUUGCCCUAUACAGGAGGAUAACCCGUCGAAAGACGGACUAAUACUGCGUAUGCUCACAACUUGGCAUCAAGUGGUGAGGAAAGAAAUUCGGUAUAGGAUAGGCAUGCGUCCCAUUAGCUUGUUGGUGAGGUAACGGCUCACCAAGGCAACGAUGGGUAGGGGAACUGAGAGGUUUAUCCCCCACACUGGUACUGAGACACGGACCAGACUCCUACGGGAGGCAGCAGUGAGGAAUAUUGGUCAAUGGGCGCGAGCCUGAACCAGCCAAGUCGCGUGAAGGAUGACUGUCUUAUGGAUUGUAAACUUCUUUUAGACGGGAAUAACAAGAGUCACGUGUGACUCCCUGCAUGUACCGGAUGAAUAAGCAUCGGCUAACUCCGUG
rnacentral:rRNA from 1 species